rnacentral:rRNA from 1 species
GCUUAACACAUGCAAGUCGAACGGAAAGGCCCUGCUUUUGUGGGGUGCUCGAGUGGCGAACGGGUGAGUAACACGUGAGUAACCUGCCCUUGACUUUGGGAUAACUUCAGGAAACUGGGGCUAAUACCGGAUAGGAGCUCCUGCUGCAUGGUGGGGGUUGGAAAGUUUCGGCGGUUGGGGAUGGACUCGCGGCUUAUCAGCUUGUUGGUGGGGUAGUGGCUUACCAAGGCUUUGACGGGUAGCCGGCCUGAGAGGGUGACCGGCCACAUUGGGACUGAGAUACGGCCCAGACUCCUACGGGAGGCAGCAGUGGGGAAUAUUGCACAAUGGGCGGAAGCCUGAUGCAGCAACGCCGCGUGCGGGAUGACGGCCUUCGGGUUGUAAACCGCUUUCGCCUGUGACGAAGCGUGAGUGACGGUAAUGGGUAAAGAAGCACCGGCUAACUACGUGCCAGCAGCCGCGGUGAUACGUAGGGUGCGAGCGUUGUCCGGAUUUAUUGGGCGUAAAGGGCUCGUAGGUGGUUGAUCGCGUCGGAAGUGUAAUCUUGGGGCUUAACCCUGAGCGUGCUUUCGAUACGGGUUGACUUGAGGAAGGUAGGGGAGAAUGGAAUUCCUGGUGGAGCGGUGGAAUGCGCAGAUAUCAGGAGGAACACCAGUGGCGAAGGCGGUUCUCUGGGCCUUUCCUGACGCUGAGGAGCGAAAGCGUGGGGAGCGAACAGGCUUAGAUACCCUGGUAGUCCACGCUGUAAACGGUGGGUACUAGGUGUGGGGUCCAUUCCACGGGCUCCGUGCCGUAGCUAACGCUUUAAGUACCCCGCCUGGGGAGUACGGCCGCAAGGCUAAAACUCAAAGGAAUUGACGGGGCCCCGCACAAGCGGCGGAGCAUGCGGAUUAAUUCGAUGCAACGCGUAGAACCUUACCUGGGUUUGACAUGGAUCGGGAGUGCUCAGAGAUGGGUGUGCCUCUUUUGGGGUCGGUUCACAGGUGGUGCAUGGCUGUCGUCAGCUCGUGUCGUGAGAUGUUGGGUUAAGUCCCGCAACGAGCGCAACCCUUGUUCACUGUUGCCAGCACGUUAUGGUGGGGACUCAGUGGAGACCGCCGGGGUCAACUCGGAGGAAGGUGGGGAUGACGUCAAGUCAUCAUGCCCCUUAUGUCCAGGGCUUCACGCAUGCUACAAUGGCUGGUACAGAGAGUGGCGAGCCUGUGAGGGUGAGCGAAUCUCGGAAAGCCGGUCUCAGUUCGGAUUGGGGUCUGCAACUCGACCUCAUGAAGUCGGAGUCGCUAGUAAUCGCAGAUCAGCAACGCUGCGGUGAAUACGUUCCCGGGGCUUGUACACACCGCCCGUCAAGUCAUGAAAGUUGGUAACACCCGAAGCCGGUGGCCUAACCGUUGUGGGGGAGCCGUCGAAGGUGGGACUGGUGAUUAGGACUAAGU